rnacentral:piRNA from 1 species
UGUGAAGAUGAAUACUCUGCAAACCUGCUC